GAGUUUGAUCUUGGCUCAGGAUGAACGCUAGCGGCAGGCCUAACACAUGCAAGUCGAGGGGUAGGUCAUUUCGGUGACUGAGACCGGCGCACGGGUGCGUAACGCGUAUGCAAUCUGCCUUUUACAGAGGGAUAGCCCAGAGAAAUUUGGAUUAAUACCUCAUAGUAUAAUGAUUCGGCAUCGAGACAUUAUUAAAGUUCCAACGGUAAAAGAUGAGCAUGCGUCCCAUUAGCUAGAUGGUAAGGUAACGGCUUACCAUGGCGACGAUGGGUAGGGGUCCUGAGAGGGAGAUCCCCCACACUGGUACUGAGACACGGACCAGACUCCUACGGGAGGCAGCAGUGAGGAAUAUUGGUCAAUGGGCGCAAGCCUGAACCAGCCAUGCCGCGUGCAGGAUGACGGUCCUAUGGAUUGAAACUGCUUUUGACAGGAAGAAACACUCCCUCGUGAGGGAGCUUGACGGUACUGUAAGAAUAAGGAUCGGCUAACUCCGUGCCAGCA
rnacentral:rRNA from 1 species